UUUAAAGUCUGACCUGCUCAAUGAUAUAUUAAAUAGCCGCAGUAUUUUGACUGUGCAAAGGUAGCAUAAUCAAUAGUUUUUUAAUUGAAAGCUGGAAUGAAAGGUUUGAUGAGAAAAUAACUGUCUCACUAUAAAGUAUUUAGAAUUUUAUUUUUAAGUCAAAAAGCUUAAAUAUAUUAAAAAGACGAGAAGACCCUAUAGAGUUUAAUAAAUUUAUAAUUUAUUAUUUUUUAGUUAUAUAUAUAUAUGAAAUAUAAAUUUAUUUUAUUGGGGUGAUAUAAAAAUUUAAUAAACUUUUUAUUUUGAGUACAUUAAUUUAUGUAAAUAUGAUCCUUGAUUAAGAUUAAAAGAUUAAAUUACCUUAGGGAUAACAGCGUUAUUUUUUUUUAGAGUUCAAAUUAAAAAAAAAGUUUGCGACCUCGAUGUUGGAUUAAAAUUAAAUUUUGGUGUAGGAGCUAAAAGUUUAGGUCUGUUCGACCUUUAAAAUUUUACA
rnacentral:rRNA from 1 species